rnacentral:rRNA from 1 species
UGAGGAAUAUUGGUCAAUGGGCGCAAGCCUGAACCAGCCAUCCCGCGUGCAGGAAGACGGCGCUAUGCGUUGUAAACUGCUUUUCCAGGGGGAGAAACUUGCGCACGUGUUGCGCAAUUGACGGUACCCUGGGAAUAAGCAUCGGCUAACUCCGUGCCAGCAGCCGCGGUAAUACGGAGGAUGCGAGCGUUAUCCGGAUUCAUUGGGUUUAAAGGGUGCGUAGGCGGACUAUUAAGUCAGUGGCGAAAUCCUGCAGCUUAACUGCCGAACUGCCAUUGAUACUGAUAGCCUUGAGUUUGGUUAAGGUAGGCGGAAUGUGUAAUGUAGCGGUGAAAUGCUUAGAUAUUACACAGAACACCAAUUGCGUAGGCAGCUUACUGAGCCGACACUGACGCUGAGGCACGAAAGCGUGGGGAUCGAACAG